rnacentral:misc_RNA from 1 species
GAUUUAAAUAUGCUCGAACGAAAAGAUCUCAAUGGAAAAAGAUUUUAAUGGGCCUUAUUAUCUCGACAACUUCCAUAUAUUCAAAGCCCAAACCUCAUCAGAAUCCAAUGCCAGUAAUGCUCUGUCCUUCGCCAAAACCCUAGUUUCUCUUCACACUGUUGGCUUGCUGAUCUCACACUUCCCAUCUGCCCUUUGCCCCUUUUCUACCAUGGCAACUGCCUACGAGUAUGACGACGCCACCGCCGCCGCCGCAAAUUACGAUGACCAGGCCGGUCCUCAACGGCAAGACCUAGGCUACGACCCCAAUUUCGUCCCAGAUUCGGUGAAAUCCUUCGUGGUGCAUCUUUACCGCCAUAUUAGAGAGAAGAAUGUGUAUGAGAUCCACCAGAUGUAUGAGACCUCCUUCCAGACCUUAUCCGAGCGCCUCUUCAAGGAAACUCCUUGGCCUUCUGUUGACGCUGUCGCUCACUACGUCGACAAUGAUCACGUUUUCUGCCUCCUCUACCGUGAGAUGUGGUUCCGCCACUUAUACGCUCGUCUCUCGCCUACUCUUAAGCAGAGGAUCGAUAGCUGGGAUAACUAUUGUAGCCUUUUUCAGGUAGUGUUGCACGGCGUUGUCAAUAUGCAGUUGCCGAACCAGUGGCUGUGGGAUAUGGUGGAUGAGUUUGUGUACCAGUUCCAGAGCUUUUGUCAGUAUAGGGCUAAGAUGAAGACCAAGACUGAGCAAGAGAUUGCGCUUUUGAGACAACAUGAUCAGGCUUGGAAUGUCUACGGAGUGCUCAACUUCUUGCAAGCACUCGUGGAGAAGUCAAUGAUCAUUCAGAUUUUGGAGCAGGAAAAGGAAGGCCUUGAACAGUUUACUUACACUGAUGGUUAUGAUUAUAAUGGUGGGAGUAAUGUCUUGAAGGUGCUAGGGUAUUUCAGCAUGGUUGGUUUGCUGCGAGUGCAUUGCCUUUUGGGUGACUAUCAUACUGGCCUGAAGUGCUUACUUCCCAUUGACAUUAGUCAACAAGGUGUUUACACCAGUGUUAUUGGCAGCCACAUAACUACGAUAUAUCAUUAUGGUUUUGCCAAUCUUAUGUUGCGGAGGUAUGUGGAUGCUAUUCGUGAGUUCAAUAAAAUUCUAUUGUAUAUAUACAAGACCAAGCAGUACCAUCAGAAAUCUCCACAAUAUGAGCAGAUACUAAAGAAGAAUGAACAGAUGUAUGCCUUGCUGGCAAUUUGUCUUUCGCUUUGCCCCCAAGUAAAGCUUGUUGAGGAAACUGUGAAUUCUCAAUUGCGGGAGAAGUAUGGUGAAAAGAUGAUUAGAAUGCAAAGAUAUGAUGAUGAAGCAUUUGCUAUAUACGAUGAACUCUUCUCAUAUGCAUGCCCUAAGUUCAUUACACCCUCAGCUCCAAGUUUUGAGGAGCCUCUUGUAAAUUACAACCAGGAUGCAUACAGAUUGCAGUUGAAACUAUUUCUUUAUGAAGUGAAGCAGCAACAGUUG